UACGUAGGGCGCAAGCGUUGUCCGGAAUUAUUGGGCGUAAAAGAGCUCGUAGGCGGUUUGUCGCGUCUGCUGGUGAAAACUCGGGGCUUAACUCCGGGCCUGCAGUGGGUACGGGCAGACUAGAGUGCGGUAGGGGAGACUGGAAUUCCUGGUGUAGCGGUGAAAUGCGCAGAUAUCAGGAGGAACACCGGUGGCGAAGGCGGGUCUCUGGGCCGUAACUGACGCUGAGGAGCGAAAGCGUGGGGAGCGAACAGG
rnacentral:rRNA from 1 species